AUUAAUUAGAAUAUCAUCUUUUCAGCCUCAUCAGAGAAGGUCUGGCAACGAUACAGCCUCUGGAGGAGACGGUCAACUUAUCUAGACUCCUGCAUGGCCAGCAGAGACUUUCAGCCAGGACUUAUUGAUGACAGUCCAACCAGCGAAUGGAGAAACCAGACCAGAGUCGAGAAAAGGCGUCCAAAAGCAGGUUUGUGAAUGCUUUGUCAUGAUUACGUUUGUUUAAAGUUAUGAAUCAAAGCUGGAUCAGCGCCUGCAUGUUACAGAUUGUGUACUUCUCCUUUUGCAGACUGACAAAAAAUAAGCACAAGAGAGCACCACAUCCAGUCAGAAGUCUUCAGGUUUUGCAUUCUUGUGCAGCAUUUGUGAUUAUUUUUUUUUUUAUUAAAUAUUGAAGCAGUUUAUAUUUAUCCCUUAAAAGAGGGUCAAGAAAGGUCUCCAAGAGCUCAAACAGGUACCACAACAGAUCCUUAAACCUUUUCUCAUCAUGGCUGCAAAACAAAAAAUGAAAAAGAGCCCUCCCUGAAAUCCUUAAAUCAUCUUCAAAACUGAUCGAAUUCACAAGAAAUAACCUCUUGCAUACAAAUUAAACCUUCUCUGAGCUGCUGUGCGAGUGUUAUAAAAGAGCAGGGAGGGCAGCAGGACCACCACGGACCACCACGGCUGCUCCUCGCCUUCAAACACUCCGGCAAUCUGCCUCUUAAAACACUUUAUUUAUUCAGCUCCGGAGCCAUACUCUAAAGUUUUCUAACCUCUCAAAUCUAUUUCUUUUUUUUUCUCCAGUGAUUCAGAUUUGAUCCUUGAGACUAAAUGUAGAGAGCAGCUUUAAAGACAUGCUUGAGUUUAAUUUGAAUUAGGACCAUUGCAGCGUGGUUUUCUGUUUUAUACGAACAGCAGAGGAACAUUCAUUGUGUUUGGUUUCUGGAAUAUUCUCUCUGCCUCACAUCAGGUAGCAGAGAGAGAGAUGGGCUCUGUGUGCGUGUGUGUGUGUUUGUGAGUGCGUUUAUGUAUGUGUGGUUUGUAUGCAUGUGUAUUUGUGUGUAUGUGUGUCCAAGAGCAAGUGUGUGCGUAUUUGUGUGUGUCUGUGUGUGCGUGUGUGUGUGUGUGUGCAGGCGCAUGUGUGCGAGGCUGCUGCCAUGCCUACGAGAUGGGGGAUGGUAGCAGCACAGCCAGCUAUUUUUCUUUCUUUCUCUCCUGAACAUCAAGUUUGGUCUCCCAUCAGCCUCGUCCUCCACAGAAAACGGCUGCUGGUUAAAGAUGUGAUGCAAACAUCUACGAUAAACCAGCGCACUAGACGCAGGACUAUUGAUUAACUCGGUAUGCUACAGACUUGUAUUGAUCCAUUUUACUAUAGAAAAUAUCGAUUAAUCAAAAUAAGGAGGAUAAAAUGAUCUGUUCAGCCAAGCAAGACAGAUAAGGAAGGUUAUUACCAAACUAAUACACCCAUGAAUCCUAUCUAACUUAGAUGUAAAGAACGCAGAUGUUCCUCGACUAAAAUAAACUAAAUGCUGAUAUUUUUUUUUAAAUUGAAGAACACACUAAGAAAUGUCCCAGUCUUUAAUAACACAAUGCAGAUUUUAAUUGGCAAAAAUUUAAGGACACUAAUUGCCUGUUGGCCUCUUGCAGAUUCCAGUUGUAAAAACGUCGCCCUCUUUACCUGUGCCAGUUGUCUUCUUCAACUACUUCCUUUGAAACAAAGUCAAACAGGUAAAUACACCUCGUAAGUUUAACUUUAAAGGUUUGAUAUGUUUAAAUAACCCAAUAGGCAUUUUUUUUUUUCAUGAAAAAAGUUUGGUUACACUUUACUUGACGCCAAUCUUAUUAACGCAUUAUAAAUAUAUUCAUAAUGCGUUAUAAUCACGUUAUAGCACUUUAAAACUAUAAACACUCAUAAAUGAUCAUAAUGCUUUAUAGCAAUAAUCGUAACACAUUAUAAAGCAUUUUAUCAUGACUUACAAGGUCAGGUAUUAUAAUGUGUUAUAACUGUUAACAACUUACUAACAAUGAUUACAUAGAUAAUACAAUGUAACUGUUGGUAACAGUUAUAACACAUUAUACAGUGCUUUAACAUGAUUAUAACCCAUUAUAAAUAUAUUCAUAAUGCGUGACAGAGAUAGGCGUGAAGUAAAGUGUUACCAAAAGUUCCACUGAAAUAAAAUUAUUAGCUGUUUAUAACCUGCUGUAGUUACCAUUAGAGCAAUGUGUUGCAAAAAGCUUGACAAGAUCUGCAGCCUCAUAGUUUCUAACCUCAUUGCACAGUGAUCUGAGUGAGCUGGGAUGGGAUAAGAGUAAGGUGAUGAGCUGAUUGGCUGCUUGAUUGUUGUCUAAAGGUAAAAGGAUGCAGACAGAUGCAGAGGUGGAAAAACACCAGAACAAAUUUGCCGAGCCCUCCAGAAGAAUCCAUGCCAGUUCACCACGGAAUCUGACCCCCGGACAAGAG
rnacentral:lncRNA from 1 species